rnacentral:sRNA from 1 species
CUUCGUUUUUGUUGUU